rnacentral:lncRNA from 1 species
AUCUAAAGUUUGAGAACUACUUUCUUAAUCUGAGAAAAUCACAGUACUGGGAACACAUGGGCUAAUUUUGAAUGACAGAUUUGUGGACAGUUAAUGAGUUAAGGUAUUAAAAAAAAACCUGGAAAUUGUUUGUAAAAACAACCAUCAAAAAUGAAUUAAUUAGGAGAAUACUGGCAUCUACCACCAACUUAGCAAGUUUAACACGUUGGAAUGUAGGUGAACAGGCAGCCCCAGCACCAGCCCCAAUGUUUAUAAAACUUCCUUCUAGAGCACAGCCACUAGCAACUCAGUUUUCAUCUCCCAAUAGUUACUUCGUCUCAACUCAAACUAUGAAAUUUCAGAUAUUUGAAACUAGACGGGCUUAGCCUAAGUCAGGGAUUCAUCACUAUAACUUGACAGGGUCACAGAGUAGGAACACAACCAUGAAAACUUUUCAUCCAUGGGUCAAAACUGUUACAGGGAGUUAGACAGGCAUGAGCGGGGCAAGAGAGGGCUCUCCCCUACCCACUGGGAAUAUCGGAUGAUGGUUGUGCAAUUAUCACAUUGCCUCUCUAAAAGUGAUCAAUUGGCAGCCAGUGCCAGGAAGAGGCCAUUUCCUGAUGGUCCACACCUGUUGCAUUAAAGUGUUAGUUGAAUGCAGGUUCCAGGGAGAAGCAAAAAGGGGCUUCCAAUAAAAUCUCAGGUAUAGGGCAAGUAAGCCUGGGCAUGCACAUUAAGCGACAAAAUGGCGGAGUAUGACCUUCCGGGGACACUCCACCGGAAAAGGGAAGAAAGCCUCAGAUGGGCAUGCACACAACUUCCUAAACACACUACCGCGUGCUCACCUCUGAGCAUAAGGAAGGCACUGCACAUGGGGGCGGCCCACCCUAAGGGAAGAACCAUGGGCAAGGGACCAGCCUAAAAAGUCCUAAGAUCAAGGUUAAAUACUGCACUUGACCUCAGUGCCCACUUGAGUCUCUUCCUAAAGUAUUUUCCUUUCUUUCCUGUUCUAAAGCCUUUUUACAUAAACUUCCACUCCUCCUCUGAAACUUGCCCGUCUCUUUUUCUCUCUUACGCCCCUCGGUUGAAUUCUUUCUAAUGAGAAGGCAGGUAUUGAGGUCGCUGUAGACACGUACAGAUUCGUCACCAAUAACUCAGAUACCGUUCACCUUUCACUCUAAAGAGGAAGAAAGCCUAUAAGCUAAUCAGCCACCCAAAACUAUAACUACCCGGAGCCAUCCUGGACUUACCUCGAUGCUCCUAUGCUGCAUACUACAGGUGGCUAUGCUUCCUCAGCAUGACACCAGAUUAUGCUACUCCCAUUCAUCCUUCCUGGAUCAUUUAAAAUGUCGUCUCCGCCGGCCAUGACCCUUUCAGUCUGGGCUGGCCACAAUUUCUCAUGCUCUUAUAGCACUGAUGUGGACUUCACAUCCGCUUUUAUUUUCUUCAAACCCUGCCUUUGCCUCCAUUCCCUUGCCGUAUCAUUCCAUCAGACUCUGCUUGAGAGUUUCUAACAAAUACAAAUAUCUUUAGAAUUUAAGGUCUGAAAAAAAGGAGAUUUCAGUAUGUUCAAACGAAAAGGCUUGAGCACAUUAGUAAACUCAGUAGACAAAGGAGUUCUAAUCUCUGGGCAAAAUUGGAAUCGGCAAUGUAUUUGGAAAAAAAAGUGUGAAGUGCAGCUCUGAAAAGUUACCCUUUCCUUCAGAAACUGAGAAUGAUGUGUACAUACUGAGACGAUAUUGUGAAGUGUUAACUUGUAAUUCUCCCUAAAACUGCCCCUCAUACCUCUCCUCAUUCAGGCUGCUGAGCAGGAGCAUUGCCU